UGGGGAAUAUUGGACAAUGGGCGAAAGCCUGAUCCAGCCAUGCCGCGUGAGUGAUGAAGGCCCUAGGGUUGUAAAGCUCUUUCAACGGUGAAGAUAAUGACGGUAACCGUAGAAGAAGCCCCGGCUAACUUCGUGCCAGCAGCCGCGGUAAUACGAAGGGGGCUAGCGUUGUUCGGAAUUACUGGGCGUAAAGCGCACGUAGGCGGAUUGUUAAGUGAGGGGUGAAAUCCCAGGGCUCAACCCUGGAACUGCCUCUCAUACUGGCAAUCUCGAGUUCGAGAGAGGUGAGUGGAAUUCCGAGUGUAGAGGUGAAAUUCGUAGAUAUUCGGAGGAACACCAGUGGCGAAGGCGGCUCACUGGCUCGAUACUGACGCUGAGGUGCGAAAGCGUGGGGGGCAAACAGGAUUAGAUACCCUGGUAGUCCACGCUGUAAACGAUGGAAGCCAGCUGUUGGCAAGUUUACUUGUCGGUGGCGCAGCUAACGCAUUAAGCUUCCCG
rnacentral:rRNA from 1 species